AGUAGCUGUUGAAACCCCAGGAUGGUGCAGGUUAUAAAGCAAGAAGAGAUUAAAAAGAAAGCAAGAAUAAGAAAGAUAACAGAUCAAAAGGCCAUCUCUUGAAUUUUUACUACACUCUGAUACAUUAAGGAGAAGGAAGACAAUGGGAAAAAACAGGAACUGUCAUCUGAGCAAACUACAGAGCCUCCAAUCUCAACCCUCAUAGAUAUCCAGGAGAAUAUCAUGGUCAAUAGUGUUGAAGGUUGCCUAGAGAACUAAAUGGAUGAAGGACAUGCUAACCUUACCUCUCUCCCAGCAAAGGAGCAUCACCAACGUUAAAGACAUUUAUUGCCACUAGGGAUUUGGGACACAUUCUUAAAACAUUGCCUAUAUACUCUGAGAGGUUCUCCAUAAUGUUAAGAAGCUCUGAAAAUUGUAGUUGACUGGAGUUAUGAUUUCAGUUGGAGCAUCCACUCCCAAACCACAGCAUAUUAUAAUAUGGGAACAAAAAGGAAUAAAGGAACAAAUGUAAGAAUAUCUGUGUUGCCCAUAACUAUAGCUGUGUGGGUGGUCAUUU